UCAAACUUGGUCAUUUAGAGGAAGUAAAAGUCGUAACAAGGUUUCCGUAGGUACGUGGAUAUCGCGACUCCCGUCGGGCGACCAUCGCUAAUCGUUGUAGGUGAACCUGCGGAAGGAUCAUUAACGUGUUUGGCUCCGGCCCUCACGCCCCUUGUGUACCUCUGGUUUCUUUGGCGCCCCGCGUCAGACUUUUGAACCCCUCUCUGAACGAGACUGUCCGAGUCCCUCAAAUGAUUUAAAACUUUCAACAACGGAUCUCUUGGUUCCAGCAUCGAUGAAGAACGCAGC
rnacentral:misc_RNA from 1 species